AGCGAAAGUUACGCUAAUACCGCAUACGAUCUAAGGAUGAAGGCAGGGGAUCUUCGGACCUUGUGCUCCUGGAGCGGCCGAUAUCUGAUUAGCUAGUUGGUGAGGUAAAGGCUCACCAAGGCCACGAUCAGUAGCUGGUCUGAGAGGACGACCAGCCACACUGGAACUGAGACACGGUCCAGACUCCUAUGGGAGGCAGCAGUGGGGAAUUUUGGACAAUGGGCGAAAGCCUGAUCCAGCAAUGCCGCGUGAGUGAAGAAGGCCUUCGGGUUGUAAAGCUCUUUUGUCAGGGAAGAAACGUCUGGGCUAAUACCCUGGGCUAAUGACGGUACCUGAAGAAUAAGCACCGGCUAACUACGUGCCAGCAGCCGCGGUAAUACGUAGGGUGCAAGCGUUAAUCGGAAUUACUGGGCGUAAAGCGUGCGCAGGCGGUUUUGUAAGUCUGACGUGAAAUCCCCGGGCUCAACUGGGAAUUGCGUUGGAGACUGCAAGG
rnacentral:rRNA from 1 species